AAUGAUAUGCCUGAAAAAAAGGAUUAUUUUGAUAGAAUAAAUCAUACAUUAAUUUUGUUUUCAUUA
rnacentral:tRNA from 1 species